UGAGUACGAGAUGCUACGGCAUCGAAGCAGUCUAUGUCAUACUUCCAAGAAAAGCUUGCACUGUCAUAAACAAAGAAUGCCUGUACCAUAACCGACACAGGUGGGUAGGUAGAGUAUACUAAGGGGCGCGAGAUAACUCUCUCUAAGGAACUCGGCAAAAUGACUCCGUAACUUCGGGAGAAGGAGUGCCUUAUUUCUAAGGUUGCAAUAACAAGAUCCAAGCAACUGUUUACCAAAAACACAGGUCUCCGCUAAGUCGUAAGACGAUGUAUGGGGGCUGACGCCUGCCCAGUGCCAGAAGGUUAAAGAAGUUGGUUAGCAUUAGCGAAGCUGAUAACUGAAGCCCUGGUGAACGGCGGCCGUAACUAUAACGGUCCUAAGGUAGCGAAAUUCCUUGUCGGGUAAGUUCCGACCCGCACGAAAGGCGUAAUGAUUUGGAUACUGUCUCGGAGAGGGGCUCGGUGAAAUAGACUUGUCUGUGAAGAUGCGGACUACCUGCACCUGGACAGAAAGACCCUAUGAAGCUUUACUGUAACUUGAGAUUGAAAUUGGACUUUAUUUGCGCAGUAUAGGUGGGAGGCGUUGAGAAUAAUCUUGCGGGAUUGUUGGAGCCAUCAGUGAGAUACCACUCUUGUAAUGUUAGAUUUCUAACUUUGUAUCAUUAUCUGGUCAAAGAACAGUUUCAGGCGGGCAGUUUGACUGGGGCGGUCGCCUCCCAAAGGGUAACGGAGGCGCACAAAGGUUUCCUCUGAACGGGUAGAAAUCGUAUCUAGAGUGUAAAGGCAUAAGGAAGCUUGACUGUGAGACCUACAAGUCGAGCAGGGACGAAAGUCGGUCUUAGUGAUCUGACGGUGCUGAGUGGAAAGGCCGUCACUCAACGGAUAAAAGUUACUCUAAGGAUAACAGGCUGAUCUCCCCCAAGAGUUCACAUCGACGGGGAGGUUUGGCACCUCGAUGUCGGCUCAUCGCAUCCUGGGGCGGUAGUCCGUCCCAAGGGUUGGGCUGUUCGCCCAUGAAAGCGGUACGCGAGCUGGGUUCAGAACGUCGUGAGACAGUUCGGUCCAUAUCCGGUGUAGGCGUUAGAAUAUUGAGAGGAGCCUUCUCUAGUACGAGAGGACCGAGAAGGACAUACCUCUGGUGUACCAGUUAUCGUGCCAACGGUAAACGCUGGGUAGCUAUGUAUGGAGUGGAUAACCGCUGAAAGCAUCUAAGUGGGAAGCCCACCUCAAGAUAAG
rnacentral:rRNA from 1 species